ACCCUUGGUCAGGUUGAAGUUCAGGUAACACUGAAUGGAGGACCGAACCGACUUACGUUGAAAAGUGAGCGGAUGAACUGAGGGUAGCGGAGAAAUUCCAAUCGAACCUGGAGAUAGCUGGUUCUCUCCGAAAUAGCUUUAGGGCUAGCCUCAAGUGAUGAUUAUUGGAGGUAGAGCACUGUUUGGACGAGGGGCCCCUCUCGGGUUACCGAAUUCAGACAAACUCCGAAUGCCAAUUAAUUUAACUUGGGAGUCAGAACAUGGGUGAUAAGGUCCGUGUUCGAAAGGGAAACAGCCCAGACCACCAGCUAAGGUCCCAAAAUAUAUGUUAAGUGGAAAAGGAUGUGGCGUUGCCCAGACAACUAGGAUGUUGGCUUAGAAGCAGCCAUCAUUUAAAGAGUGCGUAAUAGCUCACUAGUCGAGUGACACUGCGCCGAAAAUGUACCGGGGCUAAACAUAUUACCGAAGCUGUGGAUUGUCCUUUGGACAAUGGUAGGAGAGCGUUCUAAGGGCGUUGAAGCAUGAUCGUAAGGACAUGUGGAGCGCUUAGAAGUGAGAAUGCCGGUGUGAGUAGCGAAAGACGGGUGAGAAUCCCGUCCACCGAUUGACUAAGGUUUCCAGAGGAAGGCUCGUCCGCUCUGGGUUAGUCGGGUCCUAAGCUGAGGCCGACAGGCGUAGGCGAUGGAUAACAGGUUGAUAUUCCUGUACCACCUAUAAUCGUUUUAAUCGAUGGGGGGACGCAGUAGGAUAGGCGAAGCGUGCGAUUGGAUUGCACGUCUAAGCAGUAAGGCUGAGUAUUAGGCAAAUCCGGUACUCGUUAAGGCUGA
rnacentral:rRNA from 1 species